GCCUGCCCGGCUGCGGGAGAGGUGCCGCCUCAGCACCCCGGCUGUUGCGGUGAUUCCUUCCACCUGGAAGACGGAGGUGCUCAAAUAAGAGCAGAGCGGUGGUGAGUUGUGUGCGCGGAGCUGACUGCUGGGCUCAGGCGUGAAGCCUCCCGCGUGCUUCGCGGUGGUGCAGACAGCUCUUAGGGCUGCACGAGGGCGGCCCUUUCCCCCUUCCAGGCUCUCUGGGCUCACAGGGCGCGCAGGGAUGCGUGCUCAGAGCUAACAGCUGGUAGGUCCUCAGUCACAGGGAGGGCAGAGCCAGCAGCCGGGGCCACGUGUGCUCACACCGCGUGUGUUACACAAGCUCGUCCCUCCGGGAAAGUGCUAAAGCUCCCGGCUGGAGCUGAUCCGUGGUGCUGGCAGCUCUCCUUAAAAGGCCGCUUAGCAGCACAGAGCUGCGCUUGGGGGAAUGCUGGUAGAAUACGGAUUCUGCAGGGCGCUGGAGCUGAGGGCUCAUUUGUGCACCUGGAGACUGCUGGCUUCAGAUGCUGAGGGCAGAGGAAAGAAAAUGAGAAGCUUAAGGGGAACACUGUAAACCUGCCUGCAUCCAACUUAGCUCAUCUCAUCGAUACAUCACUGCCUCUGCCCUCCCCUCCUGUCCAACAACGUGUGAGAAUCGUGGACAUUUUGUCCCUCCCUUCUCUUGUCGCUUGGAUGAUGUCUUUGUCCAGCUCUCUGUAUGACUUGGGAGCAGCAGCAUUUGGACUGCAGAGCUGAGUGUCAUUCAUUUAGCAGCCGAGGGGAUUCCAGAUAUUCCUAUAUCUGGAAUGAGCCAAACAUAGACACGUUGCUGAUGGAAAACCAAAGCCCUGAAAGUAAGGCUCUGGAUCACCGUGCUGCUGCAGUGAAAUCAGUGGUUAUGCUGGCUGUACUGCUACACUCAUGGCUGUAACAUAUCCCUGUGCCUUUAUGUACUGCUCAGACAAAUGCCCUGCCUGGAGAUGUGUGGGUCGUUACCUCUCAUGCAGUGUUGUCUGGGGGUGGAGAAAUGGAGGUUUGUGCUGCUAAAUUCACUGGUGAUGCAGCAACCCUGUGGGUAAGGCAUUGCAGAAGACGAGGACAAACGAGGCCAACUUCUGACCUCAAAAUGGGGUCUGAUAGGGAUCCAUGGAAUCCUUUGAUUUGGAAGGGACCCUUAGAGGCCAUCCAGUCCAACUCCCUGCGCUGAAAAGGGACACCCACAGCUCCAUCAGGUGCUCAGAGCCCCGUCCAGCCUGACCUCGGCUGUCUCCAGGGAUGGGGCACCCACCACCUCUCUGGGCAGCCUGUGCCACUGCCUCACCGCCCUUAUUGUAACAAACUUCUUCCUUACAUCCAGUCUAAAUUUACCCUCUUUUAGUUUGAAACCAUUUCCUCAUAUUCUAUCGCAGACAACAGGGGUGGUGCAGGCACUGUGCAGGGGCUCUCCUUUCUCCUGCUGGUAGUGCUUAACCUUGACAGUUCAUUAGAGAAAGGACUGUGUGCCUGGAGCCAGAAAAUGGUAAUGUCUUACCCUUGCUUUGCAAGGCUGAGCUGCAGCCUGCUCCAGCCAAAGCUCUGGAGUGAGCUUUCAUAGAAUGAUAUCCGGUUGUUUGCUGAUGGGACUGCUAAGCCUAAAGUUGUGUCCCCUGCCCAGCCUGAGCACCCUGCAGCUGGGGGGGAAGGGAGCAAAUCCAGGAGCUCCCACUUCUCAGCAUCCACUUUGGUGUGCUGGAGGCAACACAAUACAUCUGUUUUUUCAAAUCAAAAAGCACAGGCAGUUCCUGCAGUAAAGAUGCCCUUUGUGCAGCUCAGGAGGACCUCAGCCUGCUCUCUGGCACCCUGACCAAUCACCCGUGCUGAUGCAGAAACCUUUGGAGUGCUCACCAAUAGUGUGGUCAGCAGCAGCCCUCAGCUCCCAAACCAGUUCUUCAGAUCUUAGUGGGGCGGGGCGAGUCAUCCGCACUUGCGUGUUGUUGUACAAUUUGCUAUUGAGACUAAAAGGCGUGUGGCCUCCUUUCCCCGUGUUUCUGGGGCACACAGCAAAGGAGAGUAGGUGUUAAACCGAGGAGGAGCUAGAACACAGCCCUGUGAUGCCUUGAUGCCAUCGGAGACACACAGGCCUGCCAGCAAUCCCACUCAGCAGCUGCGGUGCAGAAAAUCCCAGAGUGGGCUGGGAUUCAGGGAAGGCACUGAAAUCUGCCUGUCAGGGCGACGGGGUCUCUCAGCAGGGCAUCUCGCUCUGGACGAUCCACGCAGACGUUGUGAUCGUGGUAUGCAGAGGACAAGAGAUGCCGAGAGGCAGAGCGCAGGCUGAAGCCUGCCUACAGCGUGUAACGAGAGCUAAGUGGUGAUGGGUGUGCCACGGGGUGGAGGAUGCUGCCUAACCAUUGCUGCUGCCUCUUCCUAUCUCAGCUGGUUUCAUUUCUCUUUCCUGGCCUGAGGCCAGGCUGGCUUGGAGCCAGCACAUUUCCUAGCCAUGGUUUCUUGUCAAGCUGCUGGACUGACUUCUCCUUUAGCUGGCUGUAUGCUGUUCCAAGGGCUGCUAUGUGGCCAUGCUUUGGAAAGACCUUCUGUGCUGGCCAGGCCGGGGGCUGUGCAAAAGAGGAAGGGCAGGUCUUGGCUGCACACACAGUGACUGGUGAUGCUUGUGCAAGUUUGUCACAAGGCAGAAAGAGUCAGACUUUCCUAAGUCUGAAGUUAGAGCUCUUCCUGGCUGCCUCAGUUGUCUGGAGGAGCGUGGGCAGGCUGCCGUGGGGACAACAAAAGCUCCCUGUUGAUAGGUGUGAGCAGAGUCAUUUGAGAAAAUCCCACCUUUUCUGCUCAGCAGAGUAAAGCAGCAGCUUCUCACGGCCUGGUGGGAACUUUGCUGAAGUUGCUUCUCCUCUGGACAAGGGAAGAGAAGGAGGUUCGUGGCAUCCAAGGGUACUGUCAGGGGGACUUCCAAGCUUGUAUUACUGUCAUGCAGCUCAGCAAAGAGCUGGGAGGAGGCACCUUCUCUUUCCUCAUCCCUGGGAAUGAGUCACGAGUCCCAUGCUUAUCUGUCCCGUGGGCAAGCUGCUGCCAUCCUUUUUGGAGGUCAUAAAUGGGCAGAUCAUUGGCCUCUCGUGCCUCCAGGCAGCCAAAAAGUCUCUUGCAACCCCGCUUAAAGGAGCUGCUGAAAGCAGCGCUGAAAUGGGCCUCUCUUCUUGGCAGUUGGACGAUGGCCACACAGUGUCCAGCCGUGUCUGCAGGACCAGAGAUAUGUCUUGUGUGCAUGCUGGGAAAGAGGGCAAGGAGAAGAAACCCAGGAUCAUUGUGUUUGAAGCUGGGAGACAUGUCCUGAAGUCCCUCUGGCUGAAUAACUGUGACCAUCCCACCACCACCGCAGAAGGAAACAGCAAGCUUUUUUGUGAAUCCCUUUCCUAGCAGCAAGCCAGGAAAAACGGAGCGUUGGCUCUUGCUUGGACUGUCACACGCUUGAAUUCAAGCAAUGUUUUCUCCUUUGGCAGAGAAGGAGCGAAGCCACCCUCUGCUUUGGAAGCAGCCUCUGCUUCCCUUCCUGCCUCUCCCUGAGGAUUCCGGGGGUGCCAGCUGGGUCUCAGGGGGCAGCAAGCAGCUCUGUGGGGCUGGUGUCUCUGUGGCCAUGUUCCUUUGGGCAGCUCCCUAUGUGUGACACAGCACAGAGGGAGUCCCCAGAGUUGAAGAAGCCUCGGGACAGUGCUGGCUGACGUAGAGUUUGGACUCAGUGAUCCUUGCGGGUCCCUUCCAGCUCGGGAUAUUCUGUGGUUCUAGGAUCUGAGGGAAGGAGCACUUGUUACCAGGAAGCACGGGUCUCACAGAUGCCCUUUGAAGGUGCUGGGCAGGGCUGAAGUGCAGAGUUCCUGCAGCAGGGAUGCAGCGGAAGCCUGGAGGAAAAGCAGCUAUGGAGAUAACGGCAGCAGUGACAAUCAGAAGAGGUGGGAUCGAGCUCAGCUCCGAGACAACCCGUCGGCUGAAGCAGACAUCUGUUUCCGUGGAAAAAGUCAUCUGUUGCUGUGAUGAGCCUUUGCCGCUCCUUGCCUUGGGGGAGCUGGAAGGAAGGGAAGAAGGGAUGGAGGUGGCUGAUGUGCUGCUGAUCGGGCCUGGCUGUGCCUGAGCCAAAGACAAAGCACCUGUCAGCUCUGCUGUGGGCAGCCCUGCUUUGCUUCAGAGCCACACCUUUCACAAAAGCACGAGCAUCCUCAAACGCACCCAAGCUCCUGAUGUGCUGCCAAGGGUUUCUGCCAGGCUCUGCUUCCAUCGUGUGCGAGCACCAGGGCAGCCUGGAGAGUAAACAAUGUCCUUUAAUAGGAACAGCGGGCAGCUGCUUCUAGUGCAGGCAGAAAGGAGCGUUCCCCAUUCAGAGUUUGCACGGGGGAAGCAGGAAGGCAGAAGGGGAACCGAAAUGCCCUGAUUUGGAAGUAAGUCUCUAGUAGAAGGGCUGCUGUCUCGUGUGCUACGGCCAGGGGAGAUAUUUUUAUUCAGUGGGAAAUAUUCUGUGUCUGCUCAGAGAAGAGCUUCCAGCCUGAGUCUCCCAGCCCUCAGACAGUGUGACCAUGACCUAUGGCAGGCACAGGAGCUGCUGCCAGCUCCUCAGGGCCUCUGUGUGGGGCUGGGGCUGCAGCCCUCUCCCCAUUGCCCUUCCCCUGUCCUGAGGCCUAACCUGCUCCCUGCAGCCACCCCAUUUCCUGUGGCCUACCUUGCUCCCUGCACCCUGCAGGACCGGGAAGGGAGAUGCCAAAGUGUGAACAAGAAUGCAAGCAGCAAAAACAGUGAAGUGUGUGGGCAUCGCUCCCAUUUCCAUGAGAACGAGGAAAAGAAGGAGAUGGGGAGCCUGGCUCCAGCUGUUGGUUUCCUGCUGCACUGUCACCCACUGAUGGGCUCCCUCCUUGGCUCAUCAUGCUUUUCUCCCCUUUCCUCAUGCAGGCUAUUCUCAGUGGAGUCCAGCUGCUUGUCCUGCUCACUGCAAGCCCCAGGCUUUGAGGGCAAAGCACCUGCAGCUGGGGGGCUGGGAGAGGGCCUGCUGCAGGACUGUCAUCAUUAAGGUUGGAAAAGCCCUCCCUGGUGGGAGGUGACCUUUGGGGGACUGGGGUCUCUAGCUGGGAGGAGCGAGGAGAGCACCACAGCAGGCUCUUCACCCCCCUCACUGUGUGUCAUACAGAUUUCAGUCCCUGGGAGAUGUUCUGCAGGCAGAUUUUUUAUUUCUGAAGGGCAGGCAGCAGGGAAAGGAAAGGUUGAUCUCCCCUGGGAUCUUUCUACUUUAUUUUUACUUCUGUUUCUUUAAUCUGGAGGAAGGAACGGACUACGAGGGGCAUAAAUAAGAAGUAUGAGGCUGAAACCUUUGCCCAGGGUUGUGAACGAGUUUGUGCACGAGAGGUGCUCUGCUAAGGGGAGAGGUUCAUUUCAUUUAACCUCUGUUUUGUGCUGGAGGUGUGACCAGAGUGAUCCUCCCCUCCAAAGGUGAGCAGGGAGGCAGGGGACCACAGCCAAGAGUGAGCCACCGAGGGCCGUGAUGUGCCAAGCUCCAAGCUUAGUGCUUUGCUUAUUGGGUUUUCUUCUAAGCUCAGUAUUAACCGGUGCUGAGCAGCGCAAACAGAAGUCAGAAGUGAAGGUUAACGAGGGGUGGGGGCUUGUGUUUGGGAGGGUGGUGGCAAUGAGGGGGUUGCAUGCAGCAGUGUUCCCCCUCCCCAGAGCCCAGGAGGUAUUUCCUAGCAUCCAGCCAGCAGGCACAAAGUGUUUUAUCCCAGUCCUGGUGUUAUGAAUGAACCUUUUUAAUAGCCAUUCCCAUGCUCAGCCACAUAGCUCUUGGUUUUAUAAAUGCAUUUCAUUGCUUCUCCGUAUCUUCUUGAUGUGUGUGUAAUGCAAAAUCCCUUUAAGUAAAUUAAUGUGUGUUUUCAGCGAUUCCUUCUCAAGGUUAGUGUUAAUUUGAUGUGAAUGAUGGGAGCUGAAAGGCCCAUCAGCAGGGCAUUUUGAACAAAUCGAGGUGAUGGCUCUCUGGAGGAGCUGUUUGCGGUGGAGACUUCAAUCUGGAGCUAAAGGGUUCCCACGGUAUCUGCAGUCAGCUUUCCCCAGACAAGUCCCAACUCGGAGGCAGUUGCACAGCAGCGAUCCGACCCAACGCCGUCCCUCUGCAAGGAUGUCCCACUGGUGUCCUGCUGUCCAUCCCGCAGCAUGGGAGGGCUCAGCUGGCCGUGCCAACAGCCCCAACCAUUUGCCAUGGCUUGGGGAUCUCUGAGCACACAGGAUGCUCAGAACAGGAGGAAAACAAACACGGAUUGCUGGGUAGGUUAUGUUUGCUCACCUGCUGGGGUCUCAUGCAUUCCUGAGUAAUCUAGGCAAGUUUCACUAUGCUGAAACCUUUGACUUGAUUAAAAAAACCCACCGUGGUGUUUCCAUUUGUCUGAGGAUUGAGAGGUACCCUUGCUAUCCAUUUCCCUGCUGUUGAGCACGGGACCUUUUGCCAUCUGAAAUGCUAUAUGCAUGCAUAUAUACAUCUAUACGUAACAUACGGUAUCUCAGGCUCUUGGCAGUGCUUGCAAGAAGAAAGUGAACACCUCUGUAGGUUUGGAUACCUAUCUUUACCCUGUCUGCUAAAUGCAGAUUUUCCAUUAAUUGCUAAUUCUAGAGAUGGUAGCAGAGAUAUCCAUAUGGAGGGUGGAUGGCUGGGCUGCAUCUAUCAAUAGCAACUGGGAUUUUUUAGGAAAGGGGAAGGCAGAGCAGCCAGAGGAACGUGGAGAAGCCACAGGAGCCUCCCGGCUGCUGCUUGGGUAAAAAGCAAAGCGAGAUGAAAAGGCUGUGAUGCCAUCCCUAUUCCCAGCAGCGUGCCCUGCCCACCACACCACCACAUUUUUGUGUGGGUGGAGCAAAAUCACUCCAACGCUCCCACUUGAGAUAUUCCGUGUUGUGUAAAAUAUGGGAACGCUCAUCCAAGUGUUGGAUGCAGGCUGAGCGCUGACGGCCCGCCUGCCAUGUGGGUGUCAGAGCCAUUGGGCAAUAGCACCCUCCUUUUCCUUCUGAGCAAAAACGGGAAGCUGGAGGUGAGCCCUGCCCUGCCCUGGCCUGUAGAUAGGGCACAGCUGAGCAUCGCAGCCUUGUGCAGCUGGCAGGUGAAGGCACCUGUCCCCAGGCUGUGAUUUCGGGACAGAGAGGAGCCACCCACUUUGGGCAGCUCACCGUUGGAUGCUGGGACCUCUUGCAGCUCGUGGCCCUAUUUCACGCUCAGCUGCCGCCCCAGGGAGGCUGUGGCAGGGCUGGGAGCUUCCUGCCCCAUGGCACCAUGCUCGGGAUCAACCUCCUGUCGCCAUUUGUGGCUUAGCCCACAAAUGGAUAAAACACCGUGAAUAAUUUCCCAGUAAAUGGCAUAAAAACGAUAAAAGGAGCGUUUAUGGGCUGCCUGCUGCCAGUAAGUGUAACGUGAGAAGUAAACAGCUUCCCAAAGAGCUCAGCUCCUUGGGCAAGGAGCUGGGAAGGCAGCAGGCAGCUGCAGGGGCUCUUAGGGGGAGGCAGGAGCAUCUGGAUGAAGAAGGGGAUUAAAAGGAAGAAAUUCCCCUUGAAAACGCCAUAAAAGCUGUGCGUGUUGAGACUGGAGAACACGUCAAGUUGUGCAACAGGGCAACACAACCGGUGCUGCCUUACAGCCAGCAGCCCCCCAUCUGCUCUCACAUGUGCUGGGCUGACAGGUGCCUCUGCCAGCACGGCUAAUUGCAGCUCCCCGCAUUAGGCACACCAGCCACUGCUGCCUGUCCCCUGAUCCCCCCAGGACGAGGCCAUUGCCUCCCUGACACAGGGCACAGUGAGCUGCAGCUAGGUUCUUGGCACUGCUCCCUCAUGGCAUCAGGACAAGCGGGUGGAAGGUUUAAUUCUCUCUCGAGCAUAGAUUUUUAGCAAGCAGCAACCACAGCAGGACAUCAUGUCCAGCCUUCCACCAUGCCCAGCCUUCCACCAUGCCAGGUUUGCUUGCUGCAAGCUGAAACAAAAGCGUGGUCUUGUUUCUCUUAGCAGUGACAGGAGGAAACACAGCGAAGGUGGUGGGUGGGAAAGAAAAUCAAUUAAAAAAAGCAGUAUUUUCUGGUUGGAUGCAGGCAUUAAGGACUAGUUUGCCAUUCCCACAGUUUGUCAGCUAGCUCUGGGUCCUGCCUCACACCGCUAAAACCAGGUGAGCAGAUACAGCUCUGAUAGGCAAAGGGCAUAAGGGAAACAAGAUACAAAGGCAGAGACACAGCCUUAUUAGUGCAGCCAAUGUAACUAAAAAAACAGAUAAGUUUUCAGGCACCUCCUUACAUUGGGUAAUUGCUGACUGCAGUAAUAACAAUGUCUCAAAGAGAGGCAUGACUAAAUUGGUGCUCCCUGAUUACAAGCUGCAGUACCAGCUGUCUGCAUGGUCUCUGGGACAGUGAUACGAAGCACAGCAAGGAAGAUCUGAAGGACACACAACUCAUCAGCUCCUUCUAGCACCAUUUCCCCCCCAGCUCUCACAAGCCUCCUCUCCCCCAUCCACCUAAACCUGAAUAAUGUACAGAGCUGCAUUUAAAAGAAGUCUCAUCCGAGAUGUUCCCACAAGCCUUCAGCUAAUCCCAACUGCAGCCAUCACUUGAACUCCGUGACAGCAUGCAAUCACAGCCUUGGAAAUAUCACAGCUUCUACAAAAGCAAGCUUCAGUUAUCUACACGAGGCUAUAUAUAAAGCUGCACGCUGCAGAGCUAUGCAUCGACCUUUCAUCACGUUCCCUCUGUAAAACCCAGAUUUUAGCUGUGGGUAGGGCUGCUGAGCAGGUGUUAGCUGCUUCCCAGGUUGCACGAGCUACAAAAGGUGUUGUUGCUAAGGGUCCAGUACUGCUUGCUUCUGGAAAAAAAAGGGGCUCUUGCAGAUUAAUAAGGGGAAUCUUCCCCACGGCGAGCAUACAUGUACAAAUUACAGUCGUCCUGGAGAACAGAGCACUACAAUCUCACACCCUGAGAACAGCCUGAGCUUGCAAGCCAGGCCAGGGCUGGAAAAAAAAAAAAACUGGUACAUUCUAUGUGACUGUGUUGUUCAGUUUGAGGUUCACAGGGCAACUGGAGCCCAGAGCAACAAGAACAAGCUGAGCAAAGCAGCAGUUAUGAUAUUUUCCUGUAACUCACUUGGAGCCCCCAUCUCUUCAUCACAUAAACCCAGAGAGCUUAGCUGGAAGCAUUGUUUUAGUCUAAGCUCUGCCCCACUCUACCCCCAAAAGAGCCAGUUAAUUGCUUACUCCGACCCUCUUCACAUCCACAGGCAUGGAGAUGGGAUCUUUUCCCAACAAACUAGCAUAGCGUAGGUGGUAUUAUGAGCUGAAGUCUGACCUCAGAGCUUUGCCCUACAGCAUGAGGAGGACAUGACUCUGAGCAGCAGCCCUUUGUACCCAGAUCCCCUCCCUUGCAGGAGUCAGUCUGGCUUGCCCUACUCAGGCUAAUGACAGCUUACACUCAUCAUGAGCAGAUGCAUAUGCUGAAGCCUUCAAGGUAGGGCAGGUUUAAAGUGACUCAUGUUUAGCACCAGUUCUCAGGUUUACGGCAGCUGCAAUCACGUUAAAGGCUUGCUUUUGACACUGCUAUAAGCACAUUUCUAACCCCACCAAGCAGACUACAGCAGCACAGCCAGGAUGAUGUGCUAGCACCUAAAACCAAUCAGUUCAGCUUACCAGGAACAGCAAGUCACUUAGACCUCAAAGACAUUCAGUUAACACAUCUAAGGCAGGUCAGGCCAAAACAACAGUUUAUUUCAUUUUCAACAACAUUUCAGCCAUCAAAAAAUAAACUCUAACACAGAUGGAUGGAAGACUUCUCUACAGUGUAACUAAGUGGGCUCUGACCCAAGGGGUUUGAAAUUGGAGUGACAUUUUAUUAUUCAUCCAAUAAGUUAGGAAGCAUGAGAAUAAAGUGCUUUAUUUCUGAGCUGGCAUGAGGUCAUCAAUGGACUGGCCUUUCUCAAGGCGUUUUUCCAUUUCAAUGAGCAGCUU